rnacentral:rRNA from 1 species
AUUGAACGCUGGCGGCAGGCCUAACACAUGCAAGUCGAACGGUAACAGGAAGAAGCUUGCUUCUUUGCUGACGAGUGGCGGACGGGUGAGUAAUGUCUGGGAAACUGCCUGAUGGAGGGGGAUAACUACUGGAAACGGUAGCUAAUACCGCAUAACGUCGCAAGACCAAAGAGGGGGGCCUUCGGGCCUCUUGCCAUCGGAUGUGCCCAGAUGGGAUUAGCUAGUAGGUGGGGUAACGGCUCACCUAGGCGACGAUCCCUAGCUGGUCUGAGAGGAUGACCAGCCACACUGGAACUGAGACACGGUCCAGACUCCUACGGGAGGCAGCAGUGGGGAAUAUUGCACAAUGGGCGCAAGCCUGAUGCAGCCAUGCCGCGUGUAUGAAGAAGGCCUUCGGGUUGUAAAGUACUUUCAGCGGGGAGGAAGGGAGUAAAGUUAAUACCUUUACUCAUUGACGUUACCCGCAGAAGAAGCACCGGCUAACUCCGUG